rnacentral:lncRNA from 1 species
CGCUUCGACACUUCGAACAUGCAACGUACGUUUCUCUUUGACUUCGACAAUAUCUUGAUAUUAGAUCAUCUAGACAUCGUGUAACAUAUUAACAGAUUUGAUAGAUCUACUCUUACUGUUGGACAGUUACUGAGAGAGAAGCAAGGAGGCAGAGGUAAAUUCAGCUCUUACUGUUGGACAGUUAGUGAGAGGGAAGCAGGGAGGAAGAGGUGAAUAGAGCUCUUAUUGUUGAACAUUUACUGAGAGAGAAGCAAGGAGGCAGAGGUGAAUAGAGCUCUUACUGUUGGACAGUUAUUUAGAGAGAAGCAAGGAGGCAGAGGUAAAUAGAGUUGUUACUGUUGGACAGUUAUUGAGAGACAAGCAAGGAGGAAGAGGUGAAUAGAGCUGUUACUGUUGGACAGUUACUGAGACAGAAGCAAGGAGGCAGAGGUGAAUAGAGCUCUUACUGUUGGACAGUUAAUGAGAAAGAAGCAAGGAGGGACAGCGAAAACAACGAAACUAGCGAAAUUACAGACAGCUGACAUCAGUUGACAUCAAGAUUUGUGGUCAAGGAGCAAAGUUUGUGGUGGGAGAGAGCAAGUUAUUCCUGUGUAGGUAUAUUGGUAAGUGGGUCAUU